rnacentral:rRNA from 1 species
GAUGAACGCUGGCGGCGUGCCUAAUACAUGCAAGUCGAGCGAACAGACGAGGAGCUUGCUCCUCUGACGUUAGCGGCGGACGGGUGAGUAACACGUGGAUAACCUACCUAUAAGACUGGGAUAACUUCGGGAAACCGGAGCUAAUACCGGAUAAUAUAUUGAACCGCAUGGUUCAAUAGUGAAAGACGGUUUUGCUGUCACUUAUAGAUGGAUCCGCGCCGCAUUAGCUAGUUGGUAAGGUAACGGCUUACCAAGGCAACGAUGCGUAGCCGACCUGAGAGGGUGAUCGGCCACACUGGAACUGAGACACGGUCCAGACUCCUACGGGAGGCAGCAGUAGGGAAUCUUACGCAAUGGGCGAAAGCCUGACGGAGCAACGUCGCGUGAGUGAUGAAGGUCUUCGGAUCGUAAAACUCUGUUAUUAGGGAAGAACAAAUGUGUAAGUAACUAUGCACGUCUUGACGGUACCUAAUCAGAAAGCCACGGCUAACUACGUG